rnacentral:rRNA from 1 species
CCUACGGGAGGCAGCAGUGGGGAAUUUUGGACAAUGGGGGCAACCCUGAUCCAGCCAUGCCGCGUGUGUGAAGAAGGCCUUCGGGUUGUAAAGCACUUUCGGACGGAACGAAAUCGCACGGGUGAAUAUCCCGUGUGGAUGACGGUACUGUAAGAAGAAGCACCGGCUAACUACGUGCCAGCAGCCGCGGUAAUACGUAGGGUGCGAGCGUUAAUCGGAAUUACUGGGCGUAAAGCGUGCGCAGGCGGCUUUGCAAGUCAGACGUGAAAUCCCCGGGCUUAACCUGGGAAUGGCGUUUGAAACUACGGAGCUGGAGUGUGGCAGAGGGGGGUAGAAUUCCACGUGUAGCAGUGAAAUGCGUAGAUAUGUGGAGGAAUACCGAUGGCGAAGGCAGCCCCCUGGGCCAACACUGACGCUCAUGCACGAAAGCGUGGGGAGCAAACAGGAUUAGAUACCCUGGUAGUCCACGCCCUAAACUAUGUCAACUAGUUGUUGGGGGAGUUAAAUCCCUUAGUAACGCAGCUAACGCGUGAAGUUGACCGCCUGGGGAGUACGGUCGCAAGAUUAAAACUUAAAGAUAGUACGACGUGAGAGAGCGACGACGACGACGACGGAGGAGAG